GCGCCAGUAGCUCAGGCUGGUUAGAGCACACGCCUUAUAAGCGUGACGUCGUAUGUUCAAGUCAUACCUGGCGUACCA
rnacentral:tRNA from 1 species